rnacentral:rRNA from 1 species
AUUGGUGCUUGCAUCAUGAUUUACAUUUGAGUGAGUGGCGAACUGGUGAGUAACACGUGGGAAACCUGCCCAGAAGCGGGGGAUAACACCUGGAAACAGAUGCUAAUACCGCAUAACAACUUGGACCGCAUGGUCCGAGCUUGAAAGAUGGCUUCGGCUAUCACUUUUGGAUGGUCCCGCGGCGUAUUAGCUAGAUGGUGGGGUAACGGCUCACCAUGGCAAUGAUACGUAGCCGACCUGAGAGGGUAAUCGGCCACAUUGGGACUGAGACACGGCCCAAACUCCUACGGGAGGCAGCAGUAGGGAAUCUUCCACAAUGGACGAAAGUCUGAUGGAGCAACGCCGCGUGAGUGAAGAAGGGUUUCGGCUCGUAAAACUCUGUUGUUAAAGAAGAACAUAUCUGAGAGUAACUGUUCAGGUAUUGACGGUAUUUAACCAGAAAGCCACGGCUAACUACGUGCCAGCAGCCGCGGUAAUACGUAGGUGGCAAGCGUUGUCCGGAUUUAUUGGGCGUAAAGCGAGCGCAGGCGGUUUUUUAAGUCUGAUGUGAAAGCCUUCGGCUCAACCGAAGAAGUGCAUCGGAAACUGGGAAACUUGAGUGCAGAAGAGGACAGUGGAACUCCAUGUGUAGCGGUGAAAUGCGUAGAUAUAUGGAAGAACACCAGUGGCGAAGGCGGCUGUCUGGUCUGUAACUGACGCUGAGGCUCGAAAGUAUGGGUAGCAAACAGGAUUAGAUACCCUGGUAGUCCAUACCGUAAACGAUGAAUGCUAAGUGUUGGAGGGUUUCCGCCCUUCAGUGCUGCAGCUAACGCAUUAAGCAUUCCGCCUGGGGAGUACGGCCGCAAGGCUGAAACUCAAAGGAAUUGACGGGGGCCCGCACAAGCGGUGGAGCAUGUGGUUUAAUUCGAAGCUACGCGAAGAACCUUACCAGGUCUUGACAUACUAUGCAAAUCUAAGAGAUUAGACGUUCCCUUCGGGGACAUGGAUACAGGUGGUGCAUGGUUGUCGUCAGCUCGUGUCGUGAGAUGUUGGGUUAAGUCCCGCAACGAGCGCAACCCUUAUUAUCAGUUGCCAGCAUUAAGUUGGGCACUCUGGUGAGACUGCCGGUGACAAACCGGAGGAAGGUGGGGAUGACGUCAAAUCAUCAUGCCCCUUAUGACCUGGGCUACACACGUGCUACAAUGGAUGGUACAACGAGUUGCGAACUCGCGAGAGUAAGCUAAUCUCUUAAAGCCAUUCUCAGUUCGGAUUGUAGGCUGCAACUCGCCUACAUGAAGUCGGAAUCGCUAGUAAUCGCGGAUCAGCAUGCCGCGGUGAAUACGUUCCCGGGCCUUGUACACACCGCCCGUCACACCAUGAGAGUUUGUAACACCCAAAGUCGGUGGGGUAA